CUGUAAGUAAAGAUGGAGGUGAGUGAAUUUUUGAUCUAGUGUUUAUAAUUUUUGUACCGAAUCGUAUCAAUAUGAACUAGAUAUGCGAAUUUUGUUCUCAAAUGCUGAAAUGAAAAGAUUAUAAUUUUUGGAACAAAUGGCCGAAUCGCAUGAACAUUACAAUGUAUUGUAUGAAGUAAUCCCCCUGAAUGGUUUAGUGAACUGUGUGCCGAAAUGCAAGGAUUAUAAUUUUUGGAAACUAAUAUAUGAAUCAAUAAAUUCUUUGGAAACGACCGAAGAAUGAUGUCAGAAAGCAUUAUACGAAAACAAUCGGAAUGCUACAGCAAAGCGAAACUAAACUAGUGUACAGUGUGGCCUAUUUCAAAUAUUGUUUAUACCUACUUUUCAUCGACUAAUAUGUAAUUGUUAUUUCUGUGAGAUAUUCUGUUCAAAUUUCGACUUUAACUGUUGGCAAAUUAUUGAUGUACAUAAAGUUAGCAAUUUUUUGAGAUGUAAAUGAUACAAAUAUUAUACGCUGAAUAAACUACAAAUGAGGUUCCGUCCACUAUCAAAAUGCGAAUCAUUAUUUGUAAUUGGAAGCUGAAAAAAAAAGAGAAA